GACGAACGCUGGCGGCGUGCCUAAUACAUGCAAGUUGAGCGCUGAAGGUUGGUACUUGUACCAACUGGAUGAGCAGCGAACGGGUGAGUAACGCGUGGGGAAUCUGCCUUUGAGCGGGGGACAACAUUUGGAAACGAAUGCUAAUACCGCAUAAAAACUUUAAACACAAGUUUUAAGUUUGAAAGAUGCAAUUGCAUCACUCAAAGAUGAUCCCGCGUUGUAUUAGCUAGUUGGUGAGGUAAAGGCUCACCAAGGCGAUGAUACAUAGCCGACCUGAGAGGGUGAUCGGCCACAUUGGGACUGAGACACGGCCCAAACUCCUACGGGAGGCAGCAGUAGGGAAUCUUCGGCAAUGGACGAAAGGCUGACCGAGCAACGCCGCGUGAGUGAAGAAGGUUCUCGGAUCGUAAAACUCUGUUGGUAGAGAAGAACGUUGGUGAGAGUGGAAAGCUCAUCAAGUGACGGUAACUACCCAGAAAGGGACGGCUAACUACGUG
rnacentral:rRNA from 1 species